rnacentral:lncRNA from 1 species
AUUUGGACAAAUGUCACAGCUAUAUUUAUAUUCCACAAAUUUUUGUGAGUUAAUUAAGUGAGUAAACUCAUGUAAUGCAAAUAAAACUGUUUGACAAAUGGUGCAGCAAGAUCUCAAUAUUCUUGUUUUUGUUUUUCUUCUUUUUCUUAAUAUAACAUUCUUUAACUGGAUUUUUUUUUUCUUUUUGGCUUUGAGACACUCAGAAGAAGAAACUGGAAUACUUGGUAUGAUACCUGGAUGAAUUGACUGGCAAUUUAAAAGAAGUUAUUCUGAGUGAAAGAAGAUUCCAGAAGGAGGGAGUUGGUCUCUGACAUAAACCAAACGGUUCAUCUCCUCAACAUGUUCUGAAAUCAGGACUGAUGAGUAGGAUUCCACUGGGUCUUACAGGGUGAAAAUCCAUCAAGUAAAAUUAUCCCUUUUUGUGCCUUUUGUUCUUAAAAACACACAUUGGGAGAGGUCAAUGGAAGAGUUCCAUGAGAACCAGGAAGUGUUCCUGGUUUUGUAGCAACUCAAAGGCAACAGGUAGAUGCCACCAGAGCAAAAGAGGCAAAAUACAAAGAUCAAAACCAAAGAUAACCUAUUUAUCUUCCAAGGACUAGGCAGUGACACACAAUACCAAUGGAAAAGAUCCAAGUAAACAGCGAGAGGACUCACAGGGUGGCCCACAGGUCUCAAUUGGGUUCGUAUUCCAUAUUUCCCAUCUGGAUAAUUUCAAAGCCCUGCAGUUUUGUCAUUAUCAAAAAGAAGGUGAGUACUAAAGAAUGUUCUCUGGUGUUUUAGAAUAAGGUGUAAGAAUGUACCAUUGACUAGGAUGUCCAUUAAUCUUAACCAUCACCCUAGUUCCAGUGUCUGGUUUUAAUUAGCAUUUUUUUCUUCAAUUAUAUAUAAUUAUCCAAAGUGCUUAGUCCCCCAAGCAGUUUGGCAUGGGUAAGGUAGGUAAAGUUAUAAACCAGAUUAUGAAUUUUAUUGCUACUAUUGAAGCUGAAAUCCAUGAUACCAGUCGAAUCCUCAUUUCUUAUUUCCUUGGUUCUAGUCAUGUAAAACCUUGAUGUGAUGUAAAUAUAUAAUUCCUUAAGCAACCAAACCCUACAGCAUUUGUAACACAGUGGUUAGAAGAGUUGGGAACCUAGAACCUUUUGGAAUAACAUCCUGAGCAUUAUAAGAACCUAAAUUGUGUCUUUUUCCUUUGGAGUUUAAAAUGGCAUUGAAGUUAUACAGUAUUCUGCAAAAACAAGAGUUCCAAGAUUUAUUAGAAAAAUUAGCCCUAGGCUGCCACACAAAUAAACCCUUAAUAUCUCAAAGGUAUUAUGUAAUAAUUGGUUAUUUCACAUUUCUUCUAGCAGCUAUGGCCUCUUAGAGUAUUGUGACAUGGUAAGUGUGAGAUAGGAGAGGCCUGCUGGCUCUCACCAGCUGUAGCCUAGAGUGAUACAUGUCAUUUCUACUCAGAGUCUUUGGCCAGUAUUAGUGAUAUGCCCCCAACACACCACCACAAAAACUGUGGAAAGAUAAGGAAGUUUGUGGAAUUUUUGAUGAGCCCUGACCAUUUUUUACAAUAAGAUUUCUAUGGAGUCCUGGGAAUUAUAUUGUAGUUCCCAGUACUAAGCUAUGAAUGCCAAAUAACAUAAACAUGAAGAUGAGCUAGACACCUAGUACUGUAGGAGAUUUUCUUAUUAAGUUGGACAUACAAGUAAAUUUUUAAAAAAAUCAAGUUUGUGCUGCGCACAGUGGCAUAUGCCAUGAAUCCCAGCAGUUUGGGAGGCAGAGACAGGAGGAUCACACCUUUAAGGUGAGCUUCAGCAAUUUAGUGAGGCCGUAAGAUACUUAGUGAGACCCUGUAUCAAAAUAAAAAUUAAACAAAAGGGUUGGGGAUGUGGCUCAGUGGUCAAUUGCCUCUGAGUUAAAUUCCAUCAAGUUAGCCCUGUUUCCUGUUGCCAUGUCAUAUCCCUCCAGAAUUUUUACUAUUCUUUUC